rnacentral:rRNA from 1 species
UACGUAGGGUGCGAGCGUUAAUCGGAAUACUGGGCGUAAAGCGUGCGCAGGCGGUUCGUUAAGUCAGAUGUGAAAGCCCCGAGCUCAACUUGGGAACUGCAUUUGAAACUGGCGGGCUGGAGUGUGGCAGAGGGGGGUGGAAUUCCACGUGUAGCAGUGAAAUGCGUAGAGAUGUGGAGGAACACCGAUGGCGAAGGCAGCCCCCCUGGGCCAACACUGACGCUCAGGCACGAAAGCGUGGGGAGCAAACAGG